UAGAUUCAAGUUAGUCACAAAGGAAACCCAUCAGUGCGGAACAGCCCUGCAGGUUCAUAAUUCACAACAACAAAGGGAAAAAGAGGAGGAGUGAAGGCAAAAGGAAGACAAAAAACCCUCUAAUUUCAGCAUGAAGUUUAUGGCCUUGGAGUGAAGUUGCCUGAGCUGUAAGGGUCAUUUGGACAGGAGAAGGCUUUGGCUCAGAGGAGAUAACGAAGCUGAGGCAGGUGGGAGCUGACUCUGGCAAUGUCCAGGGGCAAGGAAUUCGUCUAUGCAAAGGCUGCUCUCUGAGAGGCUUUGGCCCCAGCGUGAAAUGACACCAUUUUUAGCAGAACUCUACAGCAUUUGAAGAAAUCGAUGUUAAUUGGCCGCAGUGCAUCUGGGCCACUUCCAGCACGUGCAAGGAGCAGCCAGAAGCAAGGAGCCAAGUGCCUGGAGAGUGGCACAGGCACGGUCCUGGCACUGCCUGCACCAGAAGCAGGAGAUUGGACUCCACUCAGGCUUCAUGAAGCUGAACAUUUGACUUGAAGAGGACUGAGAUCAUACUAACAGACAGAUGACAAAUGAACGCAGUCCCAGCAGCCACACAUGGUGCAGUCAGAUCGGGGAGAAAAAAGGCAGCAAAGGUUUAGGGUGAGGGAUACGUAAAGGAUGAGUGGUUGCAGCAAUACAUCUUGUAAUGUUUAGAAAAAUCAUUCAUGAUUAUGAGAGAGAAGAUUGAAUAAAUGGCCAGGGGAAAAAAAAAGAAAAAAGAAACGUAUGCGAAUUACAUGUCAGCAUCUUUAUUUACAGAACUUCAUUGUGUUUCACUGUUUUUUUUCAGCCUGGAACAAGGACAGAAGUGUCUUAAACACAAGACAGAUGGGGUAAGAAGAUGGGUGUGGAGCCUGCAGAAGACUGGCUUCGAGGAUGUUCAGGCCUCUGAAGGCUUCACAUGCAUGUCAUGAAGUGCACAUAAAAGAAGAAAUUGCACUUAAGUGGGAAAAAGCAAGAUUUUAACAACAGGUUUAUUCUUUUCUCUGUAAUCUAACAUCUUCAUCAUGUCUUCAAAAGAGAAGAAAAAUUAAAAAUGAAUGUGUGUAAAUGAAGUUCCAAUGGAUUUUGUUAGUCAAUAUAAACACCCAAAAGUCUGACUACUUAUCACACUGCUAGAUCUGGGAAAAAGAUUGAAAAGCUCCACAAGUAAUAUUUUCCAGGCUCUUGAGCAGUGGGAAACUCCUGCCCAUCGAUGUCAAACUGCGAGCUGAGUUUGCUGUGCAAAACGCUGGAUUCAUUCCCAGAAGAGCAGGCGCAGCCAAGUGACAAGUCUGAGGUCAGCUGUGCUGAGAGCAACCAGGGCUAGGGGUACGGCCCUCCUGCGACUGGAGGAGAGCUGAAAUCCCUCUUUUGCAGCAUGCACAAAGCAUUUGCCCUAUUUUUUUACCAGCUCUAUCAGUUAGAGCACCCACAUUAAAAUGAUUGAAGCAUAACAGCAAUACAUUCUGUACACGGUUCUGCAUUCUACUGUCUUAAGUUGCUUUAAGACAGCAAAUAUUCCCCCUUCUCCUCUGUCAGUGGUGAUGCGCAGCGUUGGCUGCUGCGGUUGCUAAUGGUGACUGCUGUAGCUUGAGAUCAAGGCACCAUAAGAGUGCUGCUGCUGCCUUGUGGCUCACAGUUCAGUAGCUGCUAACACUGAGCUCACUGAGAGAAAUAUUGUUUCCCUUCUCUUGUUCUAUUAAGUUUGUCUUCUAGCUCAUCUGUGUCCAGUGGAAUAAAAUAAACUUGUGACUUCAAGUGACUGCAGAGCUUUCUAUAUCCUUCGCUGUAUUUUUCCAGGGUGAUUUAAUAAUGGGUAGUAACUCAAAAUAACACAACAAAUAAUUUUCAUAACUUGGGAAAAGGCUCCAGGGCAGUCCUGCUUGCAGGGGAACAGGAACGUUUUUUGACCCUGGCACCAGUUCCCUCUUUGACCAUUGCCCUAUAUCUAGACUGCUAUCAGACUAAAAUUUCUCAGAUUGUUUUGGGCCCUUAAACAGAUUCCAGCAGUAUAACGUAAUAUUGCCUCUGUGGUAUACAUACAGAAGAACGUAAUGAAAGGAGGAGGUUGGUGAUGCAUCCAGCAGCACAAAUACCUCACUGUGCUGGGCUCAUACAUCCUCAGUUCUGUGUUCUUGUGGUUUAUUUGUGGUGGAUGUCCAAAUGCUAGCAACAAGAAAACGUCUCUCUUCCCUUUGUUUUCACUCAAGGCUCACUUUCAUUCGGCCUUCCAUUCUCUGACAGACGGUGCAGCAUGCAGCAUGCUGAGUGUGUAGAGAGAGCAGUGGUGUUAAUGAGAUGUGUUCUGUUUCAUGGCCUGAGAACUAAAGCAGAUGUGCUCUAUUGACAGGAGAGAUUGUUCUUACUUUGUAUCAGAGACAUUUACACUGGGGCUUACAAAAAGUUUUAAGAGGGUUAGGUGCCAUUGCUGCUUAAGUGGAUGUAGGGGCCUUGCUGCCUCCGGUCCUCUUGCACAAAAUUGUACGUGCACAAGUGUGCCUCAUCCAUAUCACCAGCAACAAGGGGACUUCGAGAACAGUGGUAGCACCUAAAACUGUAGGCUGGCUUCUUCCCAACCUACAGCCUUUUUGUUCCAGUGAGUUCUUUUGAUGCACCCAGCCUGACACAAAUCAUCUGUAUUGCCUUUGCACCAAUUCUUUCAACUUAGUUUUGCUCUGUUGUGCAUACACAGCACAUGGGCUUUUACGUCUGUGCAGGGUGGAAGCCAUCUGAGAGCCGCCCGCGGGCUCGGGGCCACAGGCAUAGCCCUAAGCUGCUUUUACCCUAGUGUGACCUGAUUCUUAGCACAGCUUCUAAUUGUGUCUAUGCGUGUGUAAACAGCAGCUCUGCCAAAAAAGCAGAGCUUUUUAUUUUUAAAUGAAUUACUUUUAAAUGAAUACACAAAUAAGCAUUCAUCUAGAGAUGAAGGGUGCUCAGAAAUUAUUUUUCUCCUCGUAAAGAUAACUACGGGAAGAAAUAGAAGAGUUUACCUUUCCAUAGCUGUCAUGGGAGGGGGGUACCCAGUCUGCUCUUUCUGUCACUCUUCUGCUGAAGAAGAUCUUUCCAGGAGUUUUGGAGCCUUUCCCUUCCUGCAUUUGAAGCAAUGUGUGGCAGAAGAGGUAUAAAUUACCACCAGCUGGAUGCUUCUUCCCUGGAAGAACAAGCUCAGAACUACCAGCUUCGGAUCACUGAACACAACUGUGAUUUGUUAAGGGUUCCUCCAUGCUC